CUUUUGGGUACACAUGCCCUUCCUCAGGCAUAGGAGAGUGCAAAGCUUGUAAAAUUACAUCCUUCACACACAUUUUGUGUGCACAAAUUGCCAAGCUGUUCACAUUUGACCAAUGCUGCUAUAUCGCUUGCAAUGAGAGAGAAGGCAAGUUGUCCAAAGUCACACAGCAAGUCAAAGGUCAAAUUGAGAAGAGACCCAGAUGUCAAUAUUAGUACUCUGGCAACAUGAAGACAUUAUCCCCCUCCAUACUAUGGAAAGUACAUCCCUUUUCAAAGGGCUUUUAAGUCUGUGGAGAAAAGGGCCAAGAAUUAUUAUCUGUCAAAACAGACACUGUUACUGCUCGCUUGCUGUGUGCCACACAGGAAAAUUAGGCACGUGGUUUAGAACUGCCAAUCCCUAGCAAUUUGUAAAUAAUGAAUCACGCCCCAAAUAAUAUGAUACUGAUUUUUUUUUAAAUCUUUAGACCUAAAAAGAAUGGAAAAUGUAUUAAUUUAAUUUUCCUUUGGGUUUUCAGUCUUUUAGGAUGCAUAUUUAGGAGCCUGUUCCCCUGCCAACCAUGUAAGUUUGAAACUUGCUUUAAAAAAAAUUAAAGCUGAGAUUGUUAUUUUGCAAAAAUACAGCACUUAAUAUUACAAGAAACAUGAAAAAAGUUGUUAGAAUUUGCACAGUGGAGACAUGACAAUGUGCUUUUCACAAUAUUUUCCAAUCUGCUCACAUUUUGGAAAAGCAGUCAGAAGAGGCAUAGAAACAUCUGUCUAUCUAUCUAGCUCUAUAUCUUGUCUCUGCUCUGGCCAUCACCACAUUCAUCGAAGGAAGACACAAGAACCAUAAAACCAAUGCGAAAGAACCUAUCUGAAUGGACUCCACUUGAAUGAGCAAGAAAAUAGCCUUCUGGGACCAGCGCUGGGAAGACUGAAAAGAAGACCUUUAAACUAGGAACUUGAAGGAGAGGGUUAAGAGAAACCCACAACAUCUUCAUGCUGAAAGCUCUGGGGUACCAGAGAGCAAGACAAUAGCUUUGAAAGGAGAUCCCAUGAAUGAAAGCAGCAAUCUCCUGACACAUCAUCACUCAGACUGCAAAGAAAGGUGACCACUCCUUUGGCAUAUAUUCUUGGACAGUCCAAUGGGCAUGGAUGAGCUACAAGAAUGAGCUCAUACUCCAGUACACAGUUCCCUUCACAAAACUCAUUAUUAAUUUAGACGUUAACUGCUCUGGGCUUCUUAACAGUGUUUUAAACUGCCUUUGCAGUACUACCCUACCAGGGUGCAGACUGUCCUUAGAAACUGACACUUUGAUUUUAACAGAGGCUCUACACAAACAGAUGCUGCUGAUUUUGGAGGAACGUGAUGACAUUUCUCACUUCUCAUCUGUCACAUUGGGACACAUGCUGCCCUUGACCUAUGGAUACAACUCUUACUGAGUUUCUGGAACCUUAUGUACUGUCUUGCUUUUUUGGGCAGACUGUUUGGAAGCAACGGGAGCCUUUGGCUUGCACAGGAGGAUCUGAUUUGUUCAUUUGCCUCUGCAGUGUAAGGGCAACACACAGCCCUUUUUUUACUGACCUUUGGAUAGGGUAUUGUUUCUCUUGAUAGUUUUAAAUCCUCUGUUUUUCUCAGGGCUUUUGAUGUGGCCCAUGAAUGGGUUUCAAUAAACAUCUGCUUAGCUUUAUUGUUACAAGAUUGUUAUGUGGUUUGCUUGUUUGUUUGUUUAAACAUAUGUGCCUAGAAUGUCCAUGACAAUAAAGACCUCUGUCAAGUCUUCUGCAUCAUUGAAGGAAGGGACUCCCAUCAGAUUAAUCUCAAUUGGGGAGAGAUGCAGAAAGUGUACUGUAUUUGAGAGAGCUACCUUUAUAACUUUAAUGCCUUGCAGAUUCACUCCAUGACCUCUAGACAUCCAGUUCUAAGAUAUUUUGAGAGAUGAACUCAGAGGCAAUAGAUGCAAAGGCAGCAGAGUGAAGCACCCAAGAAAAUGUUGAAUGCAGCACUGUCAUCAUAGCCUCUUGCCUGCAGUUUCUUCUUACUAUACCCUCUUGCUUCCAGGAAAUAGUUCUGAUCAUUCAAGGAUUUCAUUAGGACUGCAGAUCACCCACCUUGAGGAUGAUUCUUGCAAGUUGUGGUGUUGGAAAGAUGUAUCCUGCCGUAUCUACACAUGACCCCCACAAUCCUUCCCACCUGAGAGAAAAACUGAUUGAGAACUUGAGAAGGUCAUCCUUAUGGAUGUAAGGUCUCUUCAUCUGUCUUCCAUACAAAACAAUCUAACCUGUAAUUGGUAGAUAUGGUCAUCAUCAACUGCUCUUAACAAGACAUCACUCCCUUUUUCUAUCAAGUUAGUCCUGAGCCUCAAGCACAUCUAAAAAAAAAAAGUUAUUUUCACUUCAG